UGAAGUAUCAGGCUCUGGCUCUAGCUUUAGCUCUGGCACUGGAACUGCCUCGGAGUCUGGGUCUGAGUCUGGCAGCCCGAAGCCUGGACACCUUUUCUUGAUUCUCUAGGCGGGGGCUGCCUGCGUCCAAGCAGCUGGUUUGCAGCGUUCCAACGCUGGGAGGGAGUUCCCUUACCUGGGGUCCAGUCUGUAAAGUUGUCGCCGCUUUCUAGGGAUCCCGCCCCACCGGCUGGGACUCUUCCAUGCAGUUGAAACUGGUUGACAACCAUUAACCUGGGUUGCAACUACAGGUGGCACUGGAAGCAGACUGGUUCCUGGACAUGCCCGGUGGAAGGAGGGGCCCUAGUCGGCAACAGCUAAGCCGUUCAGCUUUACCUUCUUUGCAGACUUUGGUUGGUGGAGGCUGUGGCAAUGGAACAGGCUUGAGAAACAGGAAUGGUAGUGCUAUUGGCCUUCCAGUCCCACCUAUCACAGCCUUAAUCACCCCAGGUCCUGUUCGUCAUUGCCAAAUUCCUGACUUGCCUGUGGAUGGGAGCCUACUCUUUGAAUUCCUUUUUUUCAUCUACCUGUUGGUUGCUCUUUUCAUUCAGUACAUCAACAUUUAUAAAACAGUGUGGUGGUAUCCUUACAAUCAUCCUGCUUCUUGUACAUCACUGGUUUGGUGUUUAUGUUCCUCUUUGCUGUUUUCAUCAAGAUAGUAGAGCUCAUCUUCUUCUCACAGACUACAACUAUGUGGUUCAGCAUGAGGCAGUGGAGGAAAGUGCCUCGACUGUGGGAGGCUUGGCCAAAUCCAAAGACUUUCUCUCCUUGUUGCUGGAGUCGCUAA
rnacentral:sRNA from 1 species